rnacentral:rRNA from 1 species
UACGUAGGGAGCAAGCGUUGUCCGGAAUCAUUGGGCGUAAAGCGCGCGUAGGUGGCUUCGUAAGUCCGUUGUGAAAGCAAAGGCUCAACCUUUGAAAGCCGAUGGAUACUGUGGAGCUAGAGUACGGAAGAGGCGAGUGGAAUUCCUGGUGUAGCGGUGGAAUGCGCAGAUAUCAGGAGGAACACCGAUGGCGAAGGCAGCUCGCUGGGACGGUACUGACGCUGAGACGCGAAAGCGUGGGGGAGCAAACAGG